rnacentral:rRNA from 1 species
AUUGAACGCUGGCGGCAUGCUUUACACAUGCAAGUCGAACGGUAACAGGCCUUCGGGUGCUGACGAGUGGCGGACGGGUGAGUAAUGCAUCGGAACGUGCCCAAUCGUGGGGGAUAACGUAGCGAAAGUUACGCUAAUACCGCAUAAGCCCUGAGGGGGAAAGCAGGGGAUCGCAAGACCUUGCGCGAAUGGAGCGGCCGAUGUCAGAUUAGCUAGUUGGUGGGGUAAAGGCCUACCAAGGCGACGAUCUGUAGCGGGUCUGAGAGGAUGAUCCGCCACACUGGGACUGAGACACGGCCCAGACUCCUACGGGAGGCAGCAGUGGGGAAUUUUGGACAAUGGGCGCAAGCCUGAUCCAGCCAUGCCGCGUGCGGGACGAAGGCC